CCAGAUGCUCAGAAGUCUAAAUUUCUCCAAAGAGAGAGAAGAUACAACAACAGUGAAGGACUCGGACACAGAGGGUUUUUGGCUGUAUCACUAAUAAGGUGUAUCCAAAGAAUCCACUUAAUGGGAGGCUCGCCAGUCCAACUCCACAAUUAGACACGCACCGAUGGAAGUUGAGACAAUCCAAAUCCAGAAAAGAGUUCACACUUCAAUUAAUUCGAAUCCAGAGCAAAUCACAUUCAGCAACUGACUUCAAUAGAACAUCUCACCAAUGAAAAACCAGAAGAAGAUGCACAAGCAAACAAACAAAGGGGAAAAAAAAAACAUUAGCAUUUUACAGU